AUAAAAUGAUUUCCUUCUUUUCUGUUUUCAAUAUCUCUCAACUUCAAUACUAUAUUAUAUGCACUUUUACAUUAUAGAACCUGAAAUUCUUUGUUAAUGAUAACUUUGAUUAAAUUUUCCGAGACACUCUUGUAAGUUUAAUAUUCUAGUACCUUCAUGAUGGGUCUUUCUAUUAUCGCCACAAUGUCUAAAUUCAAACUUACUUUAUUCACAUGCUUAGCAGAUGAAAGUUACUCCCCUUUCUUAAAAUUCAAACUAGUUGUUCGUGAAUACUGUCUGUCAUUUGAAGUUGAGAGGAAGCUAAAAACUUUGUAUGAUAAACCACAGUGGAAUUUUUCGGUUUGCAGUGGUUCUACUGUAGUUCUUUGUAUGAUAUACAUUUAUUUGUUGGUAGAAUAAUUCAUGGUAUCUUUAUCAAGAACAUGCAUCUAUUUGUACAAAGCUGUAUCAUAUGAUUAUAAAGGCUAACAAAGAUGUUGAAUUCCUUGGUUUCAGAUCAAUACAACUUACAAUAGCAUCUAUUUGAAUCACUGUAGAAACGCUUGAAAUUCGUCGUUUCACUUGUUUCUUUUUUUCCUAAGCUUGUUUGUGUUUGUUGCUUUCUCAGAUGGCUGCUAGGUUCCAUUUUCUGUCCGCCGUCGUUCCCGGAAGGACUUCUCUGAUGGUGCUUGUUGAUGCUAAGGAGCCUCAUUGUUCAUUGAACUGAAAUAUAAAGAACAAGCUUUUGAUGAAAAGAUUGAGAAAAUUUUCAAUUUGGCUGAGAAGUGGAUUUUCAGGUGGAUUCAGAAUCCAUUUCUGUUGGUAAGGCUGCUGUUGGAAACUUAUUGGGUGGCAUCCGCUACUUCUAUGGCCAAUCAAAAAUUGCUUUGUCAAGAACCCUUAAUGAAUUUGGCCUGAAUCACCAAGCUUUAGAGACACUGACAUGCCACCAGUAGAAGUGCCCUCAAACUGUUUUUGUGAGGAUUAUGUACUUCCACACAUUCCUAUUGUUUGUAAAAUAAUUACAAAGGGAAGUUCAAUAGCUUGUAAUCAAAGGAGUACCACUUCAAUUUUUUUGAAUGCAUCUUAUUUGUUCCUAUAGAAUUCUAGGAUAAAUUCGCCACCUUCCUAUAGGACCAAUGCACAAAAACUAUUGCGAUGGUUGUUGUGUAUAAUAACUCAUGGAACUAGAAAUGUUUUAUUCAUUUGUUUGGUUUUAGGAUCACAUUAUAUCUUAUGUAGUAGGACUAAGAUAUUUUGUCUACCCUCAAAUGGUCAAAAUAUAUUCAUCACUAUUUAUCAUUGAGUUAUUCAUCACUUUAAACGAAUAGCACAAUUCAUCACUAUAUAGCAUUUCAUUGUCAAUAUUAUCAGUUUGCUUACUUAAACUUAUGUCGUGUGAGACUUGAAAAUCAACUUCCUUCUGUUUGGUCAGGAUAUAUGCCAUUGUUUAUUCACGAACAAUGUUGUCCAGCAGGUUUUGGGUUUCUGGUUAAUGUUCCUGCGCCGUGUUUUUUUGCUCACGGGCGAUAGCAGCAGCAGUGAGUAAAUUUUAACUGCAGUUUUGAUACCAAUAGAGAAGUUAAAAGAGGUGAAUGAAAGCAUUGUUAAAAGAGGUGAAUGAAAGCAUGAAUGUGAACAAGUUAGAACAGAAGUCUAUAGAAGUAGUGACUAAGGAUGACUCCGAAUUUUGGUUCAUGGGAUUUUCAAGGUUUGAGAAAGCUAUUAGGAAUCUCAAUUUAGCCAUUUCCAUGGCUAAUAAAUCCUAAAAGGGAAAAUUGAACACCAGUGUUAAGUCUCCAUUUUGUAGAUUUUUUUGCAAGCUAAGAUUAUAGGUGAAGUUUUGUAAGGUGAAUACUGAAUAGGAUGUUAAGCAAUCUUAGUCUUUUAACUUAAUGGUUGUUGCAUAUACUUUGUCCAUUAUUUUUGUUUGAUUAAAAACCGAUAACUAUGGUUGUUGCA